UAGCGUAGGGGGCUAGCGUUGUCCGGAAUCAUUGGGCGUAAAGCGCGUGUAGGCGGUCCGGUAAGUCCGCUGUGAAAGUCGGGGGCUCAACCCUCGAAUGCCGGUGGAUACUGUCGGGCUAGAGUGCGGAAGAGGCGAGUGGAAUUCCUGGUGUAGCGGUGAAAUGCGCAGAUAUCAGGAGGAACACCUAUUGCGAAGGCAGCUCGCUGGGACGUAACUGACGCUGAGACGCGAAAGCGUGGGGAGCAAACAGG
rnacentral:rRNA from 1 species